rnacentral:tRNA from 1 species
GUACCCGUAGCUCAACUGGAUAGAGCAUCUGACUACGAAUCAGAAGGUUAGGAGUUCAAGUCUUCUCGGGUACACCA